rnacentral:rRNA from 1 species
UACGGAGGGUGCAAGCGUUAUCCGGAUUUACUGGGUUUAAAGGGUGCGUAGGCGGGCUUUUAAGUCAGUGGUGAAAACUCCGAGCUUAACUCGGAAACUGCCAUUGAUACUAUUAGUCUUGAAUUUAGUUGAGGUUGGCGGAAUGUGUCGUGUAGCGGUGAAAUGCUUAGAUAUGACACAGAACACCGAUUGCGAAGGCAGCUGGCUAAACUAAAAGUGACGCUGAGGCACGAAAGUGUGGGGAUCAAACAGG